AACCCAUGGUUUUAUUGCAGGAACAAGCUAAAAUGAGGAUGAUGAAUCAGAAGGAUUCAGAUCAAACGGAAUCAUACUGGGACAACAUUUGGGGCAACACCAAGGACUACCAAAAUUCAGAGGAGGAAGUGAAAGAAAGAGCAAAGAGAACUGCGGCAGCGGCUCGUAGAUGGAGAGAGUACUCAAGGAGGGGUGCUGAUAAGCCUCCUAGCUAUAAACUUCCGGAGGCAAUCUCCAACACGGAUAAGUGACCAUUAAUCUUUUAACACCAUCAAUAUUUUUACCAUAAAAUAUAUUAAUUUUAAAGCCUAUACGUCAUGUAUGUACAAUCAUGUAAAAUUUGAAGUUACCUUAGAUCUGUAUAAUCAGUAUAUAUAUAGAUGCUAUCAUUUACAAUAAAUUGAUCUAUAAGUUAAAA